rnacentral:rRNA from 1 species
AGUGAACGCUGGCGGUAGGCCUAACACAUGCAAGUCGAACGGCAGCACAGUAAGAUCUUGCUCUUACGGGUGGCGAGUGGCGGACGGGUGAGGAAUACAUCGGAAUCUACUUUUUCGUGGGGGAUAACGUAGGGAAACUUACGCUAAUACCGCAUACGACCUACGGGUGAAAGCAGGGGAUCUUCGGACCUUGCGCGAUUGAAUGAGCGGAUGUCGGAUUAGCUAGUUGGCGGGGUAAAGGCCCACCAAGGCGACGAUCCGUAGCUGGUCUGAGAGGAUGAUCAGCCGCACUGGAACUGAGACACGGUCCAGACUCCUACGGGAGGCAGCAGUGGGGAAUAUUGGACAAUGGGCGCAAGCCUGAUCCAGCCAUACCGCGUGGGUGAAGAAGGCCUUCGGGUUGUAAAGCCCUUUUGUUGGGAAAGAAAAGCAGCAGGUUAAUACCCAGCUGUUCUGACGGUACCCAAAGAAUAAGCACCGGCUAACUUCGUG